rnacentral:lncRNA from 1 species
CUCGUCCUCUCCUUGGAAACGGGGCUCUUCAACCUCCUUCCUCGAGCGCUGGGCCCGACUCCCUCCACCAGGCGGGAAAGCUUUACCUGAACUAAGGUCACGAGCGGGAAGGGCUGUUAGCAGCCACUUCGCGAUGUCACAGGAAGCACAGAGCAACUAUUCGUUCGUUCGUAACACCGUCUGUUUCCCCACAGGCUUCCAGACAGUAUAAAAGUUGUUAGGAAUGGAAUCAUUUUGCCUAAAGGAGCCAAGAAACCAAGAGUUGCAAUUUGUCAGAAAGAAGGAUUACGUGCCAUUAGGUGAAACAGCUACCUCUCCAGGUCUUAAAAGAGAGGUCUUGUUUAGGAGCAUCCCCUGUGUAGACUGCGUGUGUGGG